UAGGGAAUCUUCGGCAAUGGACGGAAGUCUGACCGAGCAACGCCGCGUGAGUGAAGAAGGUUUUCGGAUCGUAAAGCUCUGUUGUAAGAGAAGAACGAGUGUGAGAGUGGAAAGUUCACACUGUGACGGUAUCUUACCAGAAAGGGACGGCUAACUACGUGCCAGCAGCCGCGGUAAUACGUAGGUCCCGAGCGUUGUCCGGAUUUAUUGGGCGUAAAGCGAGCGCAGGCGGUUAGAUAAGUCUGAAGUUAAAGGCUGUGGCUUAACCAUAGUAGGCUUUGGAAACUGUUUAACUUGAGUGCAAGAGGGGAGAGUGGAAUUCCAUGUGUAGCGGUGAAAUGCGUAGAUAUAUGGAGGAACACCGGUGACGAAAGCGGCUCUCUGGCUUGUAACUGACGCUGAGGCUCGAAAGCGUGGGGAGCAAACAGGAUUAGAUACCCUGGUAGUCCACGCUGUAAACGAUGAGUGCUAGGUGUUAGACCCUUUCCGGGGUUUAGUGCCGUAGCUAACGCAUUAAGCACUCCGCCUGGGGAGUACGACCGCAAGGUUG
rnacentral:rRNA from 1 species